rnacentral:rRNA from 1 species
UACAGAGGUCUCAAGCGUUGUUCGGAUUCAUUGGGCGUAAAGGGUGCGUAGGUGGCGCGGUAAGUCGGGUGUGAAAUUUCGGAGCUUAACUCCGAAACUGCAUUCGAUACUGCCGUGCUUGAGGACUGGAGAGGAGACUGGAAUUACGGUGUAGCAGUGAAAUGCGUAGAGAUCGUAAGGAAGACCAGUGGCGAAGGCGGUCUCUGGACAGUUCCUGACACUGAGGCACGAAGGCCAGGGGAGCAAACGG